AUUGUCUCCUCUGUAUGUAUCUAUAGUGCCCUGUUAGCAUAGCUGGCUGUCUUUCCUUCUGCCACCUCAGUGACAUCCUGUAAUCUGCAUUAGGACUCAUAACUGCUACUCACUGGAGCUUUGAUUCUGAAAAUUGAACUCACACGGUGAUGGUACUUGUAUGCCAACCAUAACUCUAUUUGUGUGUUUGUAGACACAACUGAAGUGCCUGCGUAUGUGGCUCGCUGAGAAGGAGGCAAUGGCUGAUGGUGAGAGGGCUUUAAGUGUUUAUUGCUGUGAUGAUAGACUAGCACACUUGAAGAAAUGGUUUACUAAAGAGACCCUCCUGGCUGGAGAGAGUGGCUGCACACGUUGUGUGGGGCACACCUGAUCCAUUACUCUGACCUGGUUCUCAUGCCAGAAAGAUUGUGAUCUACCCUAAUUGUCUGGGGAGUUUGGUCACCAAACCACUAAGUAUAUCUUAAGGGUUUUGAUGUUCAAAAAAAAAAUAGUGAAAUUAGGUAUACUGUUUCGACAAGAUCACCAAACUUUAUUUUAAACUGUUAUAAAAAUCCAUACAUAUAAGGGAACCAAGAAAGAUGCUUUCAUAACCACAAAGCUGAGGGAAUGAUAGGAGCGGGUGUAAGUAAUUGAAGAUAAAUCCCUGGUAUGUGCAUACACUGAAGCCAGUUUAGAAGGAAGCUAACAAAACUUGUCUGUUCUUUGUGUCCUGAAAAAUUCUUAAGAUGCAACAGAGCGAUGGCAGCUUUGUCAGAGGGAGGUAAAAAUGGACAACUAUAGAUUCUUCACCAAGUGUCUAAAUACAGUGCUCAGAUUUCCACCUAUCAACCAGAGGAAAUGAAUAACUGAAAUCAUAUUAUCCCUAUAUUUUCUGAAGUUAAACCUGUCAACAUUACUGUCAUUGACAAUGUUCCGACUGAGCUGGAAAGAGAGUUUUGGCAGUUCACAAUCUGUUAGCUCAUAUUUCCACACUUUUGGGAAAAUGGCCUCAAUACUUCAAGACCCAGGAUACCUGGAUUGUCAGGGAGAAAUCAGGGUCAGAAGUAGAGCCACUGAUCUAGUUCUUUCAAAGUUCCAGAAGAAAGACACAGCACAUGGUGUCACCAGAUCUGGUCAAGGAAAAGGAACAGAUCUGAUCUAAAUAAACUUGUAAGUCAUGUUGCA